AUGAAAAUAGACAUGGUCUGCGACGACGACAUUAAGCCAUUGCAACGGCAGAAGGUAUGCGUGAUCGGGGCCGGGAUGGCCGGGUUGGCGUCAGCCCGCGAGCUGCGGCGGGAGGGCCACGACGUGACGGUGCUGGAGCAGAGCGGCGACGUGGGCGGGCAGUGGCGGUACGAUCCCAUGACUGACGGCGCAGACCCGCUCGGCGCCGCGGCGGCGCCGGUGAAGGUGCACGGCAGCAUGUACGCGUCCCUCCGCCUGAUCAGCGCCCGGGAGACCAUGGGGUUCACCGACUUCCAGUUCGCGCCCAAGGACGGCCGCGACGGCCGCCGCUUCCCGGGCCACCGCGAGGUGUACCUCUACCUCAAGGACUUCUGCGACGCGUUCGGGCUCAUGGAGUUCGUCAGGCUCAACACCAGCGUUGUGCGUGUUUUCCUGGCGCCGGGCCCGACGAGGCAAUGGACGGUGAGGUCCGUCGAUCUCGGCAAGUCCGAGGAGGUGGAGGAGGCGUUCGACGCCGUGAUGGUGGCCAACGGCCAUUACUCGCAGCCGAGACUGCCAAGCAUCGAAGGCAUGGAGGUGUGGAGGGGGAGGCAGAUGCACAGCCACUCGUACAGGGUGCCGGAGCCGUUCCGCGACGAGGUGGUGGUGGUGGUCGGGUGCGGCGCGAGCGGCAAGGACAUCGCCAUGGAGGUCCGCAGGGUCGCCAAGGAGGUGCACCUCGUCGCCAAGUCCAUGGAGGAGGUAGCCCAGGAGCUCGCCAAGGUGCUCUCCAAGUACAGCGCCAGCCUGCACCUACAACCGCACGUACGUACUAGUGUUUUUUGUUUUCCGGGCUCUAGUCAUGUCGAUCUCCAGUUCUCCACAUGGAUGCAAAACGAAAUGAUUGAUCCGACAACACGUCAGGUGGAGCGGCUGUGCGAGGACGGGCGGGUGGUGUUCGGCGACGGCUCCACUAUCCUCGCCGACACCAUCAUCUACUGCACAGGGUUCAAUUACUGUUUCCCUUUCCUGGAUACGGAGGGAGCGGUCACCGUCGACGACAACUGCGUGGGCCCGCUUUUCGAGCAUGUGUUCCCCCCGUCGCUGGCGCCGUCGCUCUCCUUCGUCGGUAUACCCGUAAAGGUAUUUGCGCCUUGGUUCUUUGAGGCUCAGGCGAAAUGGGUGGCGCAGGUGCUGUCCGGCAAGAGGACGCUGCCCCCGGAGGUGGAGAUGAUGCGGUCCGUGGAGGAGUAUUACCGCGCCAGGGAGGCCGCCGGCGCGCCCAAGAAUUACACCCACGACGUCAGCUUGUUUGACACCACGGCACUGACUACUACACACAACCUGCACGACAAUCGGACGCUCUUCAUGGAUGAGUUCGGGAGCAAGUACUGCGACUUCCCUGGCGUGGAGAAAUGGCGUUACGAGCUGCUUGUGUCGUCGUUAGUCAACAUGUUCGAUAACCUCGAGACCUUCCGCGACGAGUAUCAAGACAGCGACUCCAUCCGCAAGGGUGUGGAGGAGUGGCACUUGUCUGCACAACAGGCCCAAGCUGCUGUUGUUGCUGUUGCACCUGCUGCUACGAAAGAACAAUUACUUGGUCUUCUCGAAAAAGUAGAGUGA
rnacentral:rRNA from 1 species